ACAUGCAAGUCGAGCGGUAGCACAGAGAGCUUGCUCUCGGGUGACGAGCGGCGGACGGGUGAGUAAUGUCUGGGAAACUGCCUGAUGGAGGGGGAUAACUACUGGAAACGGUAGCUAAUACCGCAUAACGUCGCAAGACCAAAGUGGGGGACCUUCGGGCCUCAUGCCAUCAGAUGUGCCCAGAUGGGAUUAGCUGGUAGGUGGGGUAACGGCUCACCUAGGCGACGAUCCCUAGCUGGUCUGAGAGGAUGACCAGCCACACUGGAACUGAGACACGGUCCAGACUCCUACGGGAGGCAGCAGUGGGGAAUAUUGCACAAUGGGCGCAAGCCUGAUGCAGCCAUGCCGCGUGUGUGAAGAAGGCCUUCGGGUUGUAAAGCACUUUCAGCGGGGAGGAAGGCGGUGAGGUUAAUAACCUCAUCGAUUGACGUUACCCGCAGAAGAAGCACCGGCUAACUCCGUGCCAGCAGCCGCGGUAAUACGGAGGGUGCAAGCGUUAAUCGGAAUUACUGGGCGUAAAGCGCACGCAGGCGGUCUGUCAAGUCGGAUGUGAAAUCCCCGGGCUCAACCUGGGAACUGCAUUCGAAACUGGCAGGCUAGAGUCUUGUAGAGGGGGGUAGAAUUCCAGGUGUAGCGGUGAAAUGCGUAGAGAUCUGGAGGAAUACCGGUGGCGAAGGCGGCCCCCUGGACAAAGACUGACGCUCAGGUGCGAAAGCGUGGGGAGCAAACAGGAUUAGAUACCCUGGUAGUCCACGCUGUAAACGAUGUCGAUUUGGAGGUUGUGCCCUUGAGGCGUGGCUUCCGGAGCUAACGCGUUAAAUCGACCGCCUGGGGAGUACGGCCGCAAGGUUAAAACUCAAAUGAAUUGACGGGGGCCCGCACAAGCGGUGGAGCAUGUGGUUUAAUUCGAUGCAACGCGAAGAACCUUACCUGGUCUUGACAUCCACAGAACUUUCCAGAGAUGGAUUGGUGCCUUCGGGAACUGUGA
rnacentral:rRNA from 1 species